rnacentral:lncRNA from 1 species
AAAGCUAAACCUCGUACUUGUGUUUUCAGUUAGAAGCUUAUUCAUAUGUGAAAGGUGCGACAAGGACGCCUUUCUCCACUGCAGGAUGCUGAAGUAAGUGUUGAUAAAAACAUCACACAUAAAAGAGAGCUUAAAUGAAAACAGAGACAAGAGGAUGCUAAACAGAGAAAAGAAGCUGGAUCAGGGAUCUGAUGGCUGACCAUGAACAGCUGUGCACAGCAAACACCUGUUCAGGAUGCAGGAGGAAUCCUUCACCGCCAGCCUAAGGAGAAUGUUGGUGACAGCCGCCAAAACACCUUGAUCACACAUUCCCAGCACCCUGCCCUGCCAGCAGCCAGAGGAAAGUCCAGUUUAUGUUAAUAAGGUGAAGAGAGUGGAGAAAAUAUUUUGUGAAUUUUCUGGCUCAAAAGGGUAAUGAAGCUACCUCUGUCUCCGUGCACUGGCACAGGAGCAAACUAAACAACUGGGAAAUGUGUUUCAGAGGAGAAAUACAGAACACAAACUCCCUGGAUUUCACACUUCACUUCCA